rnacentral:rRNA from 1 species
UACGUAGGGUGCAAGCGUUGUUCGGAAUGACUGGGCGUAAAGGGUGCGCAGGCGGCCUGUUCAGGCCGAGGUGAAAUCCCCGGGCUUAACCUGGGAAUGGCCUAUGUGACUGGCAGGCUAGAGGAUGGAAGAGGGAGGCGGAAUUCCACGUGUAGCAGUGAAAUGCAUUGAGAUCGGAAAGAACACCAACGGCGAAAGCAGGCUGCUGGGCCGACACUGACACUGAGAGACGAAAGCUAGGGGAGCAAAUGGG